CAAAGUAACUCAGCCAGGUGACAGCGGAGACAGCAGCCACUCUACGCAGCUCAAAACGCAACGUAAAGCUAUCUGUCAGCGCCUGAUCAAAGUGGUGGAUUCACAGAUAUAUCCUCUAGUAUUGCUUUAACUUUUGAGUUUUACAUUUACGUGAUUUAAAAAGCCUCUCUCCCGCUCGCUGUUGCAGAGUAGUUAGCUAGCAGAUUGACGUUAGCUCCUCUGACGUUACUACCGGAGAGACCCCAACGGUUGCUGUAUCUCUGACCGACAAACAGCGUCAACAUGUCGGACCCGGCCGGGGAGGUGAAGCUGGAGGUGAAACAGGCCAGCAAAGAGGUGAAAGAGAGCGAAAAUGUAGCGGAGAAAUAUUCAGCUAUGACCGUAAGCAAGAAUAGCGAAAUGAACAUGGGAGACCUGUCGUCCGCCUUCAGUGCGGUGCCCACUCACAAACCUGUCAAAAAGCAAAUCCAGUUUGUGGAGGACAAGCAGGAGUUCAGCAGGUUCCCCACCAAGGCAGGCCGGCGCUCCCUGUCCCGCUCCAUCUCUCAGUCGUCCACAGACAGCUACAGCUCCGCUGCAUCCUAUACGGAUAGCUCUGAUGAUGAGUCGUCACCACGGGACAAAACUCAGGUCAACUCCAAGGGCAGCAGCGACUUCUGUGUGAAGAACAUCAAACAGGCUGAGUUUGGAAGACGAGAGAUUGAGAUUGCAGAACAAGAUAUGACGGCGCUUAUCUCUCUCAGGAAGAGAGCACAGAGUGAGAAACCAUUGGCAGGUGCCAAAAUCGUGGGCUGCACUCACAUCACUGCCCAGACUGCAGUGCUGAUCGAGACUCUGGUGGCUCUGGGGGCUCAGUGCCGCUGGACUGCAUGUAACAUUUACUCGACACAAAACGAAGUGGCUGCUGCUCUGUCAGAGACCGGUGUGGCUGUGUUUGCCUGGAAAGGGGAGUCCGAGGAUGAUUUCUGGUGGUGCAUUGACCGCUGUGUCAACAAUGAGGGAUGGCAGGCUAACAUGAUCCUCGAUGAUGGAGGAGACUUGACACACUGGAUGUACAAGAAAUACCCCAACGUAUUCAAGAAGAUCAGGGGCAUUGUAGAGGAGAGUGUCACUGGGGUUCACAGGUUGUAUCAGCUGUCUAAAGCUGGAAAGCUGUGUGUACCCGCUAUGAAUGUGAAUGACUCUGUGACCAAGCAGAAGUUUGACAACCUGUACUGCUGCAGAGAGUCAAUCCUGGACGGCCUGAAGAGAACCACAGACGUCAUGUUCGGAGGCAAACAGGUGGUCAUAUGUGGGUACGGUGAGGUUGGAAAAGGUUGCUGUGCCGCCCUGAAAGCUCUGGGAGCCGUCGUCAGCAUCACAGAGAUCGAUCCCAUCUGUGCCUUGCAGGCAUGCAUGGACGGAUUCAGGGUGGUGAAGCUGAAUGAGGUCAUUCGUCAGGUUGAUGUCAUCAUCACAUGCACUGGGAAUAAGAAUGUGGUGACCAGAGACCAGCUGGACCGAAUGAAAAACGGCUCCAUUGUCUGCAACAUGGGCCACUCCAACACUGAGAUUGAUGUGGCGAGUCUCCGGACCCCCGAGCUGACCUGGGAAAGGGUGCGCUCUCAGGUGGAUCAUGUCAUUUGGCCUGAUGGCAAGAGGGUCAUCCUUCUGGCUGAGGGACGUCUCCUUAACCUCAGCUGCUCCACUGUCCCUACCUUUGUCUUGUCCAUCACAGCUACCACUCAGGCCCUGGCCCUUAUAGAGUUGUACAACGCUCCUGAGGGACGAUACAAGCAGGAUGUUUACUUGCUCCCCAAGAAGAUGGUACUAAGCCGUACCUGUGCGUUUCAGAUGAAUAUGUGGCCAGUCUGCAUCUGACCACAUUUGAUGCCCACCUGACGGAGCUGUCUGAUGAUCAGGCAAAAUACCUGGGCCUGAACAAGAACGGCCCUUUCAAACCUAACUACUACAGGUAUUAGUCUGCAUGGGGGCCAUGCUUCAGCUCACUCAAAUGUAAACGCUACCAAACAUGACUUUCCCUAAGGCAAGAAAAAGAUUUAUGUAUAUUGUAUUUUAUACUCUUCACAGGACGCACAGGUUAUAUUAAGUUGUAUUUUACUGACCGCAGCAGGUUUUGCUUCACUUGCUGCGUCUUACAGACCUACACGUGGCACUUAUAUCUGCCGUAUAGUGGGAUUUUUAUUUUCAGGUGCAUCUGUUUCCAAACCUGCUGACUCCUGGUUACUAUAUAGUUCUGUCUUGGAUAUUAAAUGUAUGAAUAUAGUGUGCCAAAUGACGGGUUACAGUUGUUGUUAAAUGUCAAUGGUUAGUUGUGGAAUCAUUUAAACCUGCAGUACGCGAUACUUUUAAAAUGUGAGUUUCUCAAGUUAAAACUCCCUGGGCUUUUUAGAUGCUUUUAACUCCAUGUUUUGGCUCUCUAAACAACAUCUAAUAUGAAGCUGGUGGCAGUAAUUUCCAGAAAACAUAAAUCGUAGACAAGCCUUGCUUGAUAUAGAGACCAGAGAGCCAUUGUAAACUCCUGGCUGAGAAAGAAAGUCUUUAUCCAAAUUUUUCUAAGGUGAAAUAAAACACCUUUUAUUGCCAGGGGGCGAGGAAUUGAACUAGGAGUGGCUGUUUGUCUGCUAGAUGUUUAAGUAAGCAAUUACUUGCAGACAAAUUAGCCAUUUUAACUAGAUAAUUCUAACUGAUUUGUAAAACACGUCUGUGUUUCUGCCUCCUAUGGUCAAAUAUCGCUUACUGCAGCUUUAACAUUUUCUGUCUUGCUUACUUCACACAUUCCAUCCAAAAUUACAGAAGAAAUGUCCUUUUUCUCUCUCUGUAUUAUCGUCUGGCUAACUAUCAGCACACCUGGCCUAAAAAAGUUACUUCAAACUUUCAUUCUUAUUGCAAACGAAAAAAAGCUAAGCAUUUACUUUUGGGGAAAAAGACAUGUCCAUUUAUGAGGUUUUGGUGUCUGGUAAGAAUAGUAUCUGUACCUCAGGGCAUUCAAAUAUCUCAAAUGGUUUGUAAAAGUGUUUUUAUCAGCACUGUCUGACCUUGGGUUCAGAUCUAGUGCAGUGUCACUAUCAGACAUUAUUUACAGAACAACUGUAGAACAGGUUUAGAUAUUUUUGUACUCUAUGAUCUAUGUCACCUGUCCAGAGUUAAAUGACUAUUGCAGAAAUGUAUAUUCUGAAUGAAGCGAACACAACACAACCUGAUGUUGAACUGUGUUACAUGCAGUGUGUUUAAUCUGCAUAUGCAACAACUCUCUCUGAAGUGUAACAUUGAGUUUAUUGUUAGAUCUGUCACAGGACUCGGCUCUUACCAGUCUGUUGAAUCCACAAAUGCUCAGACAUGGAUAAGCUUUGUUGUCAGCACAUUUACCUAGACACAAGUUAGCUCUACCUUCUCUGUUAUCUUGCUAUAUUGCACCAUUAUUAUAUCUAUUAUUAAAACACAAUAUGAUGUUUCUGCCGCUUUUUAUCAUUCAUAAAGCUUAGGCACAGUUUUGUGAGGCUUGUUAAAUGCAUACACUUAUUACCCCACCUUGUUGAUUUUCACUUUAAAUACUUUGAAUAUUGGACCACUCAGUUGAGUGGCUCUUUUUUAAUUCAAACUAUAUAGUGUGCAGGUAGUAGUUGAGUCUCUUGGACACAUUUUAACAUGCUGUAUAUGAUGCUGGUGGUCUGUGGGCCUGCCGAGGCUUCGGCACCUUGUUACCUUGCUAUGGUGUUGUUCAAAUGUAUUUACUUAGUAUGCUGUAUCACCCUUUUUUUAAACUUCAGACUCCAGCCAAAGUUCAGGUUAUUUCUGCAUUGAAUUUUAUUUUUGUAUGAGUGUUGUUGUCACUUACUCCUGCUUUAAAGGAAAACAGAAUGACUCUUUGUAAAUCAAUUACUCAGCCUGUGUUACCUUCAUUUCUUGGGUUUUUCUUGCAUAUCUCCACAGUAACCUAGAAUCAAAAGACAAAACAAAGCUCUUUGAAUAGAUGGGUCUUGCUUAACAACACCAAAAAUAUUGUUUUGCAUUCAUUUUUAGAAGCUUACUGUUAAAUAUUUAAUGCAAGAAAAAAAAUGUGUAUAGGCUGAGUUAUUGACAUAAGGGAUUUUCCUUGAAUGGUUUAGUAUCUCAAAGGAUGCUUUUAUGAAAUGCUUUUAAUCUUUGCACUAGCAGCUUUAAAGCAUCGGAGCCGAGGACACUCAGUGAGGACAUUGUCAGCAAGACGAGCGCUGCCUGUAACCAUGGUUACUGGUCAUUUGACAGUGCCUUGUGACUCACUUAGUAAUUUAUAUUCAGACAUGUACGACUGUGUUUUUCUCCCAGUAUAGAAAUGUGCCCAGUAUUUGUUUUUCAUCAAUAUACAGUGAUAGCUAUGCAGCAAAAUAUACUCGUUUUCUUCUCUCAAAGUAUUUUACUCAAGACGACAACUCAUUUUACACAUUAAAGGGCAACAUUUUACACUCUGUUGUAUUUUGAUGUAUAUUACUUAUCUUUUAACAAUCAGGCAAAACAUAUUUGUUGGUCUUCUGAAAAUAGCACUUAAAAAUGAAUUUUUUAAUGUAUUCCUUUUGUUUAGUUAAUAACAAUCAUUUUAACCUAGUUGUAUCUCUUUAAGAGACAAAUGAAUGUGUUAUUACUAUAGCAAACAGCUUGACUCAAAGUCAAAGUAAAAAAAAUGUGUACAACUGUGAUUUGACAAGAACCUCAUUCCGGCAGUAUGCAACAUAUUACAUUUCUGUGCACAGUUCCCUUUAAUAAACUACUGUUAAAUUUGAAAA